GACGAACGCUGGCGGCGUGCCUAAUACAUGCAAGUUGAGCGCUGAAGGUUGGUACUUGUACCAACUGGAUGAGCAGCGAACGGGUGAGUAACGCGUGGGGAAUCUGCCUUUGAGCGGGGGACAACAUUUGGAAACGAAUGCUAAUACCGCAUAAAAACUUUAAACACAAGUUUUAAGUUUGAAAGAUGCAAUUGCAUCACUCAAAGAUGAUCCCGCGUUGUAUUAGCUAGUUGGUGAGGUAAAGGCUCACCAAGGCGAUGAUACAUAGCCGACCUGAGAGGGUGAUCGGCCAAAUUGGGACUGAGACAAGGCCCAAACUCCUACGGGAGGCAGCAGUAGGGAAUCUUCGGCAAUGGACGAAAGUCUGACCGAGCAACGCCGCGUGAGUGAAGAAGGUUUUCGGAUCGUAAAACUCUGUUGGUAGAGAAGAACGUUGGUGAGAGUGGAAAGCUCAUCAAGUGACGGUAACUACCCAGAAAGGGACGGCUAACUACGUG
rnacentral:rRNA from 1 species